GUGAUCCCUCUGGCAGCACAUAUACUAAAACUGGAAAAAUACAGAGAUUAGCAUGGCCCCUGUGCAAGGAUGACAUGCAAAUUUGUGAAGUGCUCCGUAUUUUU